rnacentral:lncRNA from 1 species
AGAGAGGGUGGAGGAGAGGGAGGGGGAGAGAGGGUGGAGGGAGAACGGGCGGGGGAGAGGGUGGAGAAGAGCGGGCGGUGAGGAGAGAGAGAAGGUGGAGAAGACAACGGGCGGUGGAGAAGGAGGGGGAGAGAGGGUGGAGAGAGAACGGGCGGGGGAGAGGGUGGAGAAGAACGGGCGGUGAGGAGAGAGAAGGUGGAGAAGAUAGCGGGCGUGGGAGAGGGUGAGAGGGCGAGUGAGAGAGAGAGAGGGCGAGUGAGAGAGAGAGAAAGAGAGGGGCGAGAGAGGAGUGAGAGAGACGAUAAAGAGGAGAGAGAGAGAGAGAGAGCGGACGAGAGAAAGAAAGAGGGCUGGGAGAGAGGGCGGGGCGAGGGAGAGAGCUGGGAAAGAGAGAGCUGGGAAAGAGAGAGUGCGGGGAGCGGGCGAUAGAGAGAGGGUGAGGAGGGCGGGGCGAGGGAGAGAGAG